UGCUUGGGUCUCUAGCAGAGGUGAG
rnacentral:piRNA from 1 species